GAGUACGGCUCCUACUCCAUAAUGUGAGGCGUCGCACUGGCGUCUGUGAGCGGACCGGCCAUCUCAGCAUAGUUUUUCAUAAAGCGCCGGUACCAGCCCGCAGUUCCCAGGAAAAUACGCAAUUCUCGAACAGAUCGCGGCUCGGGAAUGCGCAAAAUGGCCGACACACGAUCCGGAUCCAUCUUCAGCGCUCCUCCUCCCACUAUAAAUCCCAGACGCUCGGCAACCUGUCGCAGAAUCUUC